rnacentral:rRNA from 1 species
GAUGAAUGCUGGCGGCGUGCCUAAUACAUGCAAGUCGAGCGGACGGACGAGAAUCUUGCUUCUCUGAUGUUAGCGGCGGACGGGUGAGUAACACGUGUAUAACCUACCUAUAAUACUGGUAUAACUUCGGGAAACCGGCUCUAAUACCGUAUAAUCUUUUGCACCGCAUGGUUCAAAAGUGAAUGACGGCCUUGCUGUCACUUAUAGAUGGAUCUGCGCUGUAUUAGCUAGUUGGUAAGGUAACGGCUUAUCAAGGCAACGAUGCAUAGCCGACGUGAGAGAGUGGUCGGCCACAUUGGAACGGAGACACGGUCAAGACGCCUAAGGGAGGCAGCAGUAGGGAAUGGGACGCAAUAGGCGAGAGCAUGACGGAGCAACGGCACGUGAGUGAUGAAAAUCUUCGGAGCGUGAAGAUGUGUUAUUAGGGAAGAACAUAUGUGGAAGGAGAUGAACAGAUCUUGACGGUACCUAAUAAAGAAGCAACGGCUAACUACGUG